AUUGAACGCUGGCGGCAGGCCUAACACAUGCAAGUCGAACGCGUGGGGGCCGGGUGCGUAAUGUCUGGGAACCUGCCCGAUGGAGGGGGAUCACUACUGGAAACGGUCGCUAAUACGACAUACCAUCGGAUAGUCCCACAUAGGAUUAGAUAGUCGGUGGGGUAACGGGUCACCUAGGCGACGAUCCCUAGCUGGUCUGUGAGGAUGACCAGCGACACUGGAACGGAGACACGGUCGAGACUCCUACGGGAGGCAGCAGUGGGGAAUAUUGCACAAUGGGCGCAAGCCUGAUGCAGCCAUGCCGCGUGUAUGAAGAAGGCCUUCGGGUUGUAAAGUACUUUCAGCGAGGAGGCGUUACUCGCAGAAGAAGCACCGGCUAACUCCGUGCCAGCAGCCGCGGUAAUUC
rnacentral:rRNA from 1 species